rnacentral:rRNA from 1 species
AUUGAACGAUGGCGGCAGGCUUAACACAUGCAAGUCGAGCGGAGAGAGGUAGCUUGCUACUGAUCUUAGCGGCGGACGGGUGAGUAAUGCUUAGGAAUCUGCCUAUUAGUGGGGGACAACAUUUCGAAAGGACUGCUAAUACCGCAUACGUUCUACGGGAGAAAGCAGGGGAACUUCGGACCUUGCGCUAAUAGAUGAGCCUAAGUCGGAUUAGCUAGUUGGUGGGGUAAAGGCCUACCAAGGCGACGAUCUGUCGCGGGUCAGAGAGGAUGAUCCGCCACACUGGGACUGAGACACGGCCCAGACUCCUACGGGAGGCAGCAGUGGAGAAGAUUUGACAAUGGGCGGAAGCCUGAUCCAGCCAUGCCACGUGUGUGAAGAAGGCCUUAUGGUUGUAAAGCACUUUAAGCGAGGAGGAGGCUACUUUAGUUAAUACCUAGAGAUAGUGGACGUUACUCGCAUAAUAAGCACCGGCUAACUCUGUGCCAGCAGCCGCCGUAA